rnacentral:misc_RNA from 1 species
GAAAUGCGAUAAGUAAUGUGAAUUGCAGAAUUCAGUGAAUCAUCGAAUCUUUGAACGCACCUUGCGCUCCUUGGUAUUCCUUGGAGCAUGCCUGUUUGAGUAUCAUGAAAUCUUCAAAGUAAAUCUUUUGUUAACUCAAUUGGUUUCUACUUUGGUAUUGGAGGUCUUUGCAGCUUCACACCUGCUCCUCUUUGUUCAUUAGCUGGAUCUCAGUGUUAUGCUUGGUUCCACUCGGCGUGAUAAGUUAUCUAUCGCUGAGGACACUGUAAAAGGUGGCCAAGGUAAAUUCAGAUGAACCGCUUCUAAUAGUCCAUUGACUUGGAAAAUACUUUUAUGAUCUGAUCUCAAAUCAGGUAGGACUACCCGCUGAACUUAAGC